AUUGAACGCUGGCGGCAGGCUUAACACAUGCAAGUCGAACGGUAACAGGAAGCAGCUUGCUGCUUCGCUGACGAGUGGCGGACGGGUGAGUAACACGUGAGUAACCUGCCCUUGACUUUGGGAUAACUUCAGGAAACUGGGGCUAAUACCGGAUAGGAGCUCCUGCUGCAUGGUGGGGGUUGGAAAGUUUCGGCGGUUGGGGAUGGACUCGCGGCUUAUCAGCUUGUUGGUGGGGUAGUGGCUUACCAAGGCUUUGACGGGUAGCCGGCCUGAGAGGGUGACCGGCCACAUUGGGACUGAGAUACGGCCCAGACUCCUACGGGAGGCAGCAGUGGGGGAUAUUGCACAAUGGGCGGAAGCCUGAUGCAGCAACGCCGCGUGCGGGAUGACGGCCUUCGGGUUGUAAACCGCUUUCGCCUGUGACGAAGCGUGAGUGACGGUAAUGGGUAAAGAAGCACCGGCUAACUACGUG
rnacentral:rRNA from 1 species